AGGACGAACGCUGGCGGCGUGCUUAACACAUGCAAGUCGAGCGGUAAGGCCCUUCGGGGUACACGAGCGGCGAACGGGUGAGUAACACGUGGGUGACCUGCCCUCCACUUCGGGAUAAGCCUGGGAAACUGGGUCUAAUACCGGAUAUGACUUCUGGGUGCAUGCCUGGUUGUGGAAAGUUUUUUUCGGUGGGGGAUGGGCCCGCGGUCUAUCAGCUUGUUGGUGGGGUGAUGGCCUACCAAGGCGACGACGG
rnacentral:rRNA from 1 species